CCGCCGGCGACCGGCGCACGGGUGAGUAACACGUAUGCAACCUGACCGUGACAGAUGGAUAACCGGGAGAAAUCCCGCCUAAUACAACAUAAUGCCGGGAGGGGACAUCCCCUGCCGGCCAAAGGGGGCGACCCCGGUCACGGAUGGGCAUGCGGCGCAUUAGGUAGUUGGUGGGGCAACGGCCCACCAAGCCGACGAUGCGUAGGGGUUCUGAGAGGAAGGUCCCCCACAUUGGAACUGAGACACGGUCCAAACUCCUACGGGAGGCAGCAG
rnacentral:rRNA from 1 species